rnacentral:rRNA from 1 species
GGGUGAGUAACGCGUAUGCAACCUGCCCUUCACAGGGGGAUAACCGGGAGAAAUUCCGACUAAUACCGCAUACGUCCUCCGGGGGCAUCCCCGGAGGAUGAAAGAUUUAUCGGUGAAGGAUGGGCAUGCGUGAUAUUAGGUAGUUGGCGGGGCAACGGCCCACCAAGCCCACGAUAUCUAGGGGUUCUGAGAGGAAGGUCCCCCACAUUGGUACUGAGACACGAACCAAACUCCUACGGGAGGCAGCAGUGAGGAAUAUUGGUCAAUGGACGAGAGUCUGAACCAGCCAAGUCGCGUGAAGGAAGACGGAUCUAUGGUUUGUAAACUUCUUUAGUGCGGGAACAAAGCGGCGUCGUGACGCCGGAUGAGUGUACCGCAAGAAUAAGCAUCGGCUAACUCCGUGCCAGCAGCCGCGGUAAUACGGAGGAUGCGAGCGUUAUCCGGAUUUAUUGGGUUUAAAGGGAGCGCAGGCUGCGAGGCAAGUCAGCGGUCAAAUGUCGGGGCUCAACCCCGGCCUGCCGUUGAAACUGUCCUGCUAGAGUUCGAGUGAGGUAUGCGGAACGCGUUGUGUAGCGGUGAAAUGCAUAGAUAUGACGCAGAACUCCGAUUGCGAAGGCAGCAUACCAACUCGCGACUGACGCUGAGGCUCGAAAGCGUGGGUAUCGAACAGGAUUAGAUACCCUGGUAGUCCACGCAGUAAACGAUGAAUACUAACUGUUCGGAGGGC